AUACCAUGCUGAAUAUACCGGUUCUCGUUCGAUCACCGAAGUUAAGCAUCAUUGGGCGCGGUCAGUACUUGGGUGGGUGACCACCUGGGAACACUGCGUGCCGUU
rnacentral:rRNA from 1 species